UACGAAGGGGGCUAGCGUUGUUCGGAUUGACUGGGCGUAAAGGGUGCGCAGGCUGGUCCAUCAGUCAGGGGUGAAAUGCCGGGGCUCAACCUCGGAACUGCCUUUGAUACUGUGGAUCUUGAGUCCGGAAGAGGUGAGUGGAACUGCGAGUGUAGAGGUGAAAUUCGUAGAUAUUCGCAAGAACACCGGUGGCGAAGGCGGCUCACUGGUCCGGAACUGACGCUGAGGCACGACAGCGUGGGGAGCAAACAGG
rnacentral:rRNA from 1 species